GAUGAACGCUGGCGGCGUGCCUAAUACAUGCAAGUCGAGCGAACAGACGAGGAGCUUGCUCCUCUGAUGUUAGCGGCGGACGGGUGAGUAACACGUGGAUAACCUACCUAUAAGACUGGGAUAACUUCGGGAAACCGGAGCUAAUACCGGAUAAUAUAUUGAACCGCAUGGUUCAAUAGUGAAAGACGGUUUUGCUGUCACUUAUAGAUGGAUCCGCGCUGCAUUAGCUAGUUGGUAAGGUAACGGCUUACCAAGGCAACGAUGCGUAGCCGACCUGAGAGGGUGAUCGGCCACACUGGAACUGAGACACGGUCCAGACUCCUACGGGAGGCAGCAGUAGGGAAUCUUCCGCAAUGGGCGAAAGCUUGACGGAGCAACGCCGCGUGAGUGAUGAAGGUCUUCGGAUCGUAAAACUCUGUUAUUAGGGAAGAACAAAUGUGUAAGUAACUAUGCACGUCUUGACGGUACCUAAUCAGAAAGCCACGGCUAACUACGUG
rnacentral:rRNA from 1 species